UACGUAGGGUCCGAGCGUUAAUCGGGAUUACUGGGCGUAAAGCGUGCGCAGGCGGUUUUGUAAGCCAGAUGUGAAAGCCCCGGGCUCAACCUGGGAACUGCAUUUGGGACUGCAAGGCUUGAGUACGGCAGAGGGGGGUAGAAUUCCUGGUGUAGCAGUGAAAUGCGUAGAUAUCAGGAGGAAUACCGAUGGCGAAGGCAGCCCCCUGGGUCGAUACUGACGCUCAUGCACGAAAGCGUGGGGAGCAAACAGG
rnacentral:rRNA from 1 species